rnacentral:misc_RNA from 1 species
AUUGCCUUAAAAUUUGGCUAAUUUACUUCGCAUUUUGCUAUUUUGAAUGCGAAAAGUAAAAUGCAAUGCCUGGCUAGACAAAGAAAACAGUAUUUCAAAGGCAAAAAAAGUUACAUCUCAUGAAAAACAAAUUUUAAUUCCUUAUUGUAAUUACUUUAUUCUCAUGCAAAGCAAAAUUCAUAUAUUUAUCAAGUAUACUUAUUUAUUUUAAGUAUUACAUUUUUUUUUUAUUUCAAGCAAAAUAAAAAUUCAUAUGGAUAACAUUUUAGGAAGUAAGAAACAAGCUAACCAAAUGG